CGACGAGUUCUCGUUGAAUCUCGGUGCUUGCACCGAGAUUCAACAUGGACCGAGUGGCGGACGGGUGAGUAACACGUGGGUAACCUGCCCUUAAGUGGGGGAUAACAUUUGGAAACAGAUGCUAAUACCGCAUAGAUCCAAGAACCGCAUGGUUCUUGGCUGAAAGAUGGCGUAAGCUAUCGCUUUUGGAUGGACCCGCGGCGUAUUAGCUAGUUGGUGAGGUAAUGGCUCACCAAGGCGAUGAUACGUAGCCGAACUGAGAGGUUGAUCGGCCACAUUGGGACUGAGACACGGCCCAAACUCCUACGGGAGGCAGCAGUAGGGAAUCUUCCACAAUGGACGCAAGUCUGAUGGAGCAACGCCGCGUGAGUGAAGAAGGCUUUCGGGUCGUAAAACUCUGUUGUUGGAGAAGAAUGGUCGGCAGAGUAACUGUUGUCGGCGUGACGGUAUCCAACCAGAAAGCCACGGCUAACUACGUGCCAGCAGCCGCGGUAAUACGUAGGUGGCAAGCGUUAUCCGGAUUUAUUGGGCGUAAAGCGAGCGCAGGCGGUUUUUUAAGUCUGAUGUGAAAGCCCUCGGCUUAACCGAGGAAGCGCAUCGGAAACUGGGAAACUUGAGUGCAGAAGAGGACAGUGGAACUCCAUGUGUAGCGGUGAAAUGCGUAGAUAUAUGGAAGAACACCAGUGGCGAAGGCGGCUGUCUGGUCUGUAACUGACGCUGAGGCUCGAAAGCAUGGGUAGCGAACAGGAUUAGAUACCCUGGUAGUCCAUGCCGUAAACGAUGAAUGCUAGGUGUUGGAGGGUUUCCGCCCUUCAGUGCCGCAGCUAACGCAUUAAG
rnacentral:rRNA from 1 species